GAUACNUCUCUUAUGGAUCUAAUGCNNCNUNNCUGCUUGGAAACUCAUAGUCUAGAGUGAGGGAGAGGCNGAUGGAAUUGGUGGUGUAGGGGNAAAAUCCGUAGAUAUCACCAAGAAUACCCAUUGCGAAGGCGAUCUGCUGGAACUCAACUGAGCUAAGGCGCNAAAGCGUGGGGAGCNAACAGGAUUAGAUACCCUNGUAGUCCACGCCCUAAACGAUGUACNCUAGUUGUUGGGAUGCUAGUCAUCUCAGUAAUGCACGUAACGCAUUAAGUGUACCGCCUGGGGAGUACGGUCGCAAGA
rnacentral:rRNA from 1 species